CCACGAAGGAGAUCUCAAGUCAGCAGUGAAUGACCAACAGGGUAGAAAUACAGUGCUCUGGAUCCACCACUUGUGUGAUCCACACUCCCCAACUGCUGUGCCCUGUGGAUUUGCUAAGAAAGCAAGACUAGUGUAGAACUAAGUAUUGCUUCACAGCUGGCUCUUUGGUGCUAGAGCCCCUCAAAGUGCUCCACCUUCAGGCGUGUCCCUGUAAGAGCAGUACAACUCCUGCCUUGGACAUAGACGCUAAGGUAGAGCAGGACAGAAAUACCAACACAGGUGCACAGGGGACACCAACCGUGCCUGCAAUCACUGCCCAUGAAACCAAACGCAUGAAAAUGCGAUGAGGCUUCAGAUUUGUACAAGGAUACCAAAACUGCCCCUCGCUUUAAAAAUCUCUCCCUAAGCAAUACAAUUUAGCAGCAGCGCUAAAAUGGGAAUCCAGUACUCUGGACACAAUCCUUCACAGCCCAUCAGCAACGUCACUCAGCCCUAGCAGCACCGUGGCAAGGAGUUUCUGAAAUUCCAGUUUUAAUUGUGGCAAUCUACAGAAAAUCUUCUGUAAAAUAUUGUGACGUGGAUGGGAUGUUAGCACAAUGAAUGACAUGCUGGAGUGCAACUGAUGGAAAUAUCAGGACUUCAUUUGCUUGCUUUUUAGAGCAAAAACGUUUUCUGGCUUAAGUAAUAUACAGUAAAUCAGUAGUAAAUUUGCUGAAUAUGAGCUUUUAUUAAAACCAGUGAUGGCAGCAUCUAGCAUGCUGGGCUGACAGACAUCUGGAAGAGCUUUUGGCGUCUAUAAUUAAGAAGAACCUUGUGUGAAUUUGGCGCUCAGCUUUUCCAUUAGAAUCCCCUGCUCAAAAAAACGUAUUUUGCCCUUAAAGUUGGCCCACAAAAUCUCUGCCAAGAACAGAGCCUUUUCUUUUCAGGAAUGUUUAGGAAGAAAAAAGAAUAAAAGCCUACUGCAGUCACUCUGAAGCUUGGAAUGCCAAAUGAAACAUUUUAAAGUUUCAAAUUUUUGGUCAAGGUGUUGGGGUAAUUUACAAAUCACAUUUUCUUUUACAAUGAAGUUUUGAAGGCAGUGAUGCCAGACCCCAGCUCAAAAUACUCCAACAUGAGCUGAGGAUCAAUAUAGGGGGCAGUCCCUUGUCUCUCCAGCAAAGUACUCAAAGAAGGUGCAAGUGCAAUGCCGAAGCACAGCCCAGCACGGACUGAGUCAGCAACGCGCUCUGGAUGCUGGCUGUGAUGAGAACCAGAUAGCAGCUUGAUGGAUGGUAUUUUGAAAGGCUGAAACAGGAAACCACCAUGGUGUUGUGGGCACAUGCAACCACUCCACAGCUCUGCUCAGCACAGCUGAAAGGCCAGAAGGCACCAGCAAGAGAUGAAGGAGAUUCUUUCCAAAGCUUGGGCCUCUGCUGCUCGGGCAUAAUUUAAAGCAUCUCUCAGGCUGCUCUAAAUGGUUUUGCAACUCCCUCCUCACAACAUGCUAAAGACAUCUCAGGACCAUCGGCACUUCCAUCUCUACUCUGGAGGCACUGGACUUUGUCAUGGGAGUCUGCCUAGAGAGUUUUCAGUUGGAAUGUGAGCGAGGAAGAGCAGAGCAUUUGCCCCAUAACAGCAGCAGCCUGUAAGAGGUUAUUUGAGCCUGGGAGGCCGAUAGUACACUUCAGAAAGGACAUACCAGCAGUAGAAGACAGCUUGGGGAAAAAAGAUGACCUGGUUGUGAGAACAAGCUCUGCGUCUGCCAUCAGUGGAGGAACUGAUGAGCUAGGAGCCCUGCAGAAUGAAGCAGGGACUACAGACUUCAGGACAAGUGCCCCUCUUCUGUGUAUGUGAAGCAUCAACCAGUGCAAGAGGCUCCUACUUUCAUCUCCAGGUCAAACUUGUUCCAGAAGUGGAGACCAGAGGAGAAAAUGAAGAGGAAGGUCUGUUUUACGUGUGAAAUGCUGAAAGCAUUUUUGUUUGUUUGUUUGGGAUUCUCUUCUUCCCCCCCAGUAAGUAAAGGGAAGACUAUCUUGUCAGUCCGCGGCUCAUUCUCAAGGAUGCAGAAGCAAAAUAUGCCUCAGUAUACUAAAGAUUCAUGAUACUUCUCACCUAUUUAUAAAGUACCUUGAUGAGGGAAAACACAAAUGCUGGCCUCAUUAUCCAAAAUGUAAUUGAUGUCCUACAUAUCAAAAGGAAAUGCAACACAGUUUGUGGACUCCCUAAAAUUGAAGACAGUUUCUUAAUAAACUGGAGAUAUAAUUGAGCAAUAUGUUUGAAAACCCUGUACCGUUUUGUCUUGGUCUCAAAGUCUGGAAUCUAAGCAGCCUCCCUCAGCUCCUCAUACUUAAAAAUAAAAUUUAAAUAUCUUUGUGGUAACCCAUUACUACACACAAGGAAGAACAAAAACUAACCUCCUCACAUACCCCCAGUUGGCUUCUCUAGUUGUAUCUUUGAUAGAUCUGGUAUAGGGUUUUCAUGGCAGGGGAGGGGGAUUUAUUUAUUUUUCUUCCAUUUUAGGGUUUCCUUGCUGUGGUCUUCACUGAAGAAUCACUAAAUCAGAGCCCGUGAUUCCUGAGUAAUUGCUGAUUGAACACAUUUGUCGUGCCAGUGGGAUGCAAGCCCUGUUAGCUGGUCCAAGGGCAGUUUGCCGCCAGGGCAAUGGAUUCCCAUGCCAUGUCUAUGGAGCAGACUUUUUUCAUUUUAGGAGCUACGGUACAACAGUAGUGAGCAAAGUAACGCAGUCCAAUUGUUGCAUAUCUUGGAGAUGUUAGGAGAAAAAACUAAUGAAAAGCAAUACUGGACCAAAAACUGCACUUUGAUUUGUCACUCAUGCUCAUUAACAACGUGAAAACAGCUAAGCAGAGAAGAAAUUUUCUUGGAGCAAAUGUUCAUAUGGUAUUUCCCUUAAUAUUAAUUCCAUUAACAUUCUGGUUCUGUGGGCAUUUGAGAGUCAGACUAAAAUAACAUGGAAAUAAGAAAUGGGACUGUUUGAUUCACUUCAUGGGUUCAGGUGGGCUGAGGUCUGAUUUCACAAGAGUUUUGGUGUGACAAUAUGUUGAAUCUUUUUCUUGAAGCCCAGGCGAAAGCUAACACGGGCCCAAGAUCAGAAAGUUGAUAGCAUCAGAUUUAUUUUCAAGAUAGAGGGAUUUUUACAGGGAUGACCAGACGAUAUUAUCCAACAAGGAAGAGUUUUGGAGAACCUUUGCAGCGAUCCUGCCAUCCAGUCACUGAUACACCACAGGGCAGCGUGGACAUGAGAACAUCAAAUGACAAAUGCAUCAACCCAAUGCCAUUCACACAAACAUCUUAGUUUUACUUUGCAAGGUCUGACCUGAGAAAGAAAAGCACUUCCUGAAAGUGCCCUUCUGUGAUAUUAGGCAGGCUUCAAAUGACUUACCAUAGUACAGAGGGACAUUGACAUUUGAACUGCAGGAGUUUGGGUUUCCGCCGUCUUUUUCCCCCCUGUGACAAUUGUAUUUGAAUAACUGGAAUUUUUAAAAUCCCUAUUCCUCCUUUCAGGGUGAUGUAAUGCAACGGUUGCAAAAGCCUAACAAUGUAGAACUGCUGCUGCGAGAGCCAAGUCUGGCACCAGGAGAGAUUAGAGUUGGCACCAAACACCAUGAUCUUUAAAAUAAAUCUGGCAGACACACUGAAAAGGUUUGCCACUGCUGCCAUAAACAGCAUACAGAGCAGUAAAUGGAAGAAUGCUGAGAAAGGCCACGGUUUUGUUGCUGGAACAAAGAUGCCAAUUAGCUAACCACUUAAUCUAGCACCUAGUAAAUGGUUUUACAAUGGCGUGUCAAAAUUAAGGGCAGUAGCAGGGACCAAAGGUAACAUAGCAGUGCCUUUCAUACGUCCAUCACACCAAAGCGAGCCCACAAAACCCACCAGCUACCUAUCAGCCAGGAGAACCUCUGUGCACAACCGCAAGUUACACUAGAUCACUCACACAAAAAUACUUUUUCCACACAGGAACACAUCUGUCUCAACACAUUUCUCUUCCCAGUACUUUUCAAUUAUGCUUUCCAGAGAGGGAAUUUGCUUCCAGUCAGUGAUGCUGGAGCAGUGCUCUGGAAAUAGAUGUGUAUGAGGAUUUUCCUUUUUUUAAAUGCAGACAUAAUGGAGAAGAGAAAUGCAAGUUUUCUUCUCCACUCACUCUCUCUCCCGACUUGAAUUGAAGGAGCAUGGGCUGAUUUUGUCUGCUCUACAUGAGGCUCUGAUGAUUUGUGAUGUGGACAUGUGUCUGCGGGCAACUAGACAGAUGACACCUUCUUUCACACAGACAACUAGGCAGCCACGUAACAGCAGCAUUUCUCAAUUGCUAUUAUUUUUUAUCUUAAAAAAAGCCAACACACAAACAAGCAACUAAUUUCCUUCAGCAGGAAAUCCCCAUAUUCCACCCCAAAUUCUAAAACUCUACAAGCACCCAACUCUCAAACAAAGGAUCACUUUCACCAUGCAGACAAACUGCACGGAAGUCAGAAAUGUGCGUGGUGUCUUAAGAGUUUUUUGCCAAUCUGGUUAGUACUAAAACUUAAAGAAACGCUAAAAGCAGACAGCAGAUUUCAAGCUAUUUAUCUGAACCUCAGUAGUAACCAUGCAAUUUUCAUAAAUAAUACUUACAAGCACUCCUAGUGGGAUACCCAACAUGCUGUUUGCAUGGGGAGGCAUAUAAAAGUUACAGCCUCCUGUCCCAACUUACUUGCACACACAUGAAAGGAAAGACUUAGUUUAAAGGUGAAAACUUCACUUUUUCUCUCCCCCCAAAAAAAAAACCAAACAAACUGAGAAAAAGAAGAUCUGAUUGCCAUGACCCAACUUUUUCCUGGUGGCUUCAAAUUCUCCAAACAAAACUGACAAAUCUGAAAACCGAGACAACUUUCAAUGACCACAAACCAUGUUGUCUUUUACCAGAUGUUUACAGCUGCAGUGACAAACCUAGCACCGUGAAGCCUUUUUGUUUCACCAAAGAGCAGUUUCCUCCUAUCACGUUAUACACCACUCACCCUUGGGAUCACUAGUCCAGCAGCUCAUCACCUCCGAGCCUGGCUGUCAACAGCAACUGCUCGAGCACAAUGCCAAACCUGGGGACUGCCAUAAACACAAGAGAGCCAGGAUUCGGGGCAGCAACAGAGAUGAUGGCUUCAUUUACAGGACUGCAAGGCAGCUCUGGAAAACCUCCUGCAAGCAGAGAAAUUGGCAGCUACCUCGAGUUCAUUCAAAUAAUCUAAGAAAACUUUAUCAUCUCCAAAGAUUAGGAAAUCCAGCUGCAAGCAAAAGCCAACUUCAGCCUCUUGGAUAUUUGAGAAGAAGCUUACAUAUGACAUUAAGAAGGUGACUGCCGUAGGCCUAAAACUCAGAUUUGAUCUGCAAUAUCCUUAGCUUAAAGGCAAAACUCUCCCACGCGCAUGGGACUUCAAAGGCCCUCCCCUUCGACAGCCCAGGAGAGGAACCCGACAGCCUGGUUCAACAGCUGAUGCCUUUCCUGACACCGCAUUAACUUCAGCUCAUCGCCUUUGGCACAGCUUCUCUCCGACACUUUGAUGGAAUAACUUCUACAACAGACAAAAGAAUCAAAGUCAUUUCUUCCCUUUGGCUACUACAGGAUGGCACAGACACGACCAAUUCACUCAUAAGCAACAUGCAAAGAUGCUCUCGCUGACCCCCACUGUUUGCCAUGGCUACUGCAAUAUGAGCUACCAGAAAUCAACAACUGGGCAAAAUAUCUGAACACAAUGCUUAGCUUCCGAAGGAAAUACAGUUGCUCAUCUCCCUUCGUUCCAGAAUAGUAGUCCGGGUAACUAGUGAAAUACAAGAAAAAAGGAAAGUGUGCCUCCUUUAAAAAAAUAAUAGCAGAAACAAACAAAAAAAACCAACUAACUACUGCAUGGAACAAAACAAAAAUUGGAGUAAAGGGGUUUCAGCUCAGAUAAAUUACAGACUUACAGUACUACAUGAAUUCCCCUGAACAAUUAAACAGCCAUCUUAAAAUGCUAACACCAAAAACCCCAUAAUUAUGUAAAAAAGUUACUUUUUUCUCAAGUGGUAUUCUCAGAAAUGGCAAUUUUGAAGCCACACUCCCAUAGUAAGGGCUCUCAUUAGGCAGACGUGUAUUCAGUUCCAUGUCAGCCACAGGUUUCCUGUUACCAGAGCAUCUUACAGAGACAAUUCAUAUUUAAUCUGCCUGCCUCUAUUUACCUCUGUAAAGCAAGGUUUCCUGCAUUUUUUCACUUCUGAGUAAGCUGAGCUCAAAACCAUGCAGAUAAUAGGCUGCAGUCGGGUAAAUCAGCACAAGGGAUUACGGGAGAAAGCUAUACAAAUGCCAAACCCUAAACCUACUAAAAAUACCAUGAAACUAGUGUAUUUUUGACUUUCCUUACUACUUUCUCCACUCUUUUACCAAUGGUGAGAGCAGAUACUGCCUGCAGUUGUCAGUGCAGACCAGAAGUGUAAGUAUCACACUCCUAUUUUCUCUUAGACCACAUAACCUCUUUUUCCUACGCCCAACUUCUGCACGGCUAAAUUCUCCUUUUAAUUCACGAUUGGCUGCAUAACUCUUCUCUCCCAGUCAUUCUACUCCAGUUGGUCUGUUUUUACCCUGGAGCAAUGGGUGCUAGGUAUGUUGUGCAUCUUCCGUUAGCACAUGUCCUGCCAUGGUUCACAUUAAGCAGAACCAAUCUGCUAACCCCUAGACAGCUGCUGGUUUUACAGGCUGUCAUCACAAAGACUGCCUAUGUGCCUGCUUGGGGGACUUUGAUUCUUCAGGAGCCCACAAACUGAAUUCAUUCAGCUCAGCUGCAAAUUUAAGCAUGGAAUUGAAAUGCCACAAUUAGAGAACCAGCUUCCCUUCGUUUAGCUUCUCUUCAUAAACUAGUGCUGGGGGUGUAACGGCUGAAAGGCCUGCACCUCUCACUUCUAACAUGGUUCCUGAAGGUACAUUUUCAGCAAUAGGCAUUGCAGAAUAAAUGGGUUCGACAAAGAUCCAAAACUGCAAGCAUUUACUAGAGAGGACAGCCUGUACCAGAACUUCUUCUAAACCUGGCCUAGGAACUAGUGGAAGCUGAGAGACA